GAGGAUCCGGGCGGUUCCCCCUUCGGGGGACAGGGUGACAGGUGGUGCAUGGUUGUCGUCAGCUCGUGUCGUGAGAUGUUGGGUUAAGUCCCGCAACGAGCGCAACCCUCGACCUUAGUUGCCAGCAUUCAGUUGGGCACUCUAAGGUGACUGCCGGCUAAAAGUCGGAGGAAGGUGGGGAUGACGUCAAAUCAUCAUGCCCCUUAUGACCUGGGCUACACACGUGCUACAAUGGGCGGUACAAAGGGUCGCGAACCCGCGAGGGGGAGCCAAUCCCAAAAAGCCGCUCUCAGUUCGGAUUGCAGGCUGCAACUCGCCUGCAUGAAGCCGGAAUCGCUAGUAAUCGCGGAUCAGCAUGCCGCGGUGAAUACGUUCCCGGGCCUU
rnacentral:rRNA from 1 species